rnacentral:rRNA from 1 species
GUGGGGAAUUUUGGACAAUGGGCGCAAGCCUGAUCCAGCAAUGCCGCGUGCAGGAAGAAGGCCUUCGGGUUGUAAACUGCUUUUGUACGGAACGAAACGGUCCGGGUUAAUACCCUGGGCUAAUGACGGUACCGUAAGAAUAAGCACCGGCUAACUACGUGCCAGCAGCCGCGGUAAUACGUAGGGUGCAAGCGUUAAUCGGAAUUACUGGGCGUAAAGCGUGCGCAGGCGGUUGUGUAAGACAGGCGUGAAAUCCCCGGGCUCAACCUGGGAAUUGCGCUUGUGACUGCACAGCUGGAGUGCGGCAGAGGGGGAUGGAAUUCCGCGUGUAGCAGUGAAAUGCGUAGAUAUGCGGAGGAACACCGAUGGCGAAGGCAAUCCCCUGGGCCUGCACUGACGCUCAUGCACGAAAGCGUGGGGAGCAAACAGGAUUAGAAACCCCGGUAGUCC